rnacentral:rRNA from 1 species
AACGAACGCUGGCGGUAGGCUUAACACAUGCAAGUCGAGCGCCCCGCAAGGGGAGCGGCAGGCGGGUGAGUAACGCGUGGGAAUCUACCCAUCUCUACGGAAUAACGCAUGGAAACGUGUGCUAAUACCGUAUACGUCCUUCGGGAGAAAGAUUUAUCGGAGAUGGAUGAGCCCGCGUUGGAUCAGCUAGUUGGUGGGGUAAAGGCCUACCAAGGCGACGAUCCAUAGCUGGUCUGAGAGGAUGAUCAGCCACACUGGGACUGAGACACGGCCCAGACUCCUAGGGGAGGCAGCAGUGGGGAAUAUUGGACAAUGGGCGCAAGCCUGAUCCAGCCAUGCCGCGUGAGUGAUGAAGGCCCUAGGGUUUUAAAGCUCUUUCACCGGUGAAGAUAAUGACGGUAACCGGAGAAGAAGCCCCGGCUAACUUCGUGCCAGCCGCCGCCGUAAUAC